GUGCAGACAACAUUGUGAACAAUGCUGAAUUCAUUAGAGAGAGCAUUGUUCCAGAAGCUGGGCCUUGGACUAUCUUGGGUCAGGUGUAAAUUGACUUAGGCUUAAGAGAGCCUGGGAUCCUGUUAUAACUCCAGGUGCACAAAAGCAACUCAGUUAUUACUUUCUGAAUGCAUUUGAUAAUUGGGGGGGUUUCAACACGAACCCACUAUAUGCGAUACUUCAUGAGGUGAUUUACUGCCAAGGUGUUCCAUCUCAGUGGGCUGCUCAAAGAAUAAGGGAGGCCAACGGAAGCAAGUUUGACGCAAUCAAAGCAGCAAAAGAAGGGCGUCCUGUAUAUUUUACGGGAGAGGUUUGCACAUCACUGAGUGGAGAUCCUUUCACCGAUGAGAAAUUUGAUGAAAUACGAGACAAAUGGGCAUCAUACUUCACCGAACAUUGUGUGUAAUUAACGCUUCAUCGAUUUCUUUUUGUGGAUGUUUCAUGCUAUUAAAAUCAUAUAUAAUUGCCUUAUUAUAUUUUUGGUGCAAUUUUGUAACGUAUGAAGUGUAAAAGAUAUAGUUAUU